rnacentral:lncRNA from 12 species
AUGACCACACCCACGACUGCGGUUGGAGAACACAAAACCGUGACCACACCCACAACUGCGUUUGGAGAAGAGACAACCGUCACCACAACCACGACUGCGUUUAGAGAAGAGACAACCGUGACCACACAAACUACUACAGUUGGAGGAGAGACAACCGUGACCACACACACGACUGCUGACAGAGAAGAGACAACCGUGACCACAACCACAACAGCUGUUGGAGAAGAGACAACCGUGACCACAACUGCGUUCAGAGAAGAGACAACCGUGACCACAACUGCGUUCAGAGAAGAGACAACCGUGACCACAACUGCGUUCAGAGAAGAGACAACCGUGACCACAACUGCGUUCAGAGAAGAGACAACCGUGACCACAACUGCGUUCAGAGAAGAGACAACCGUGACCACACCCACUACUGUACCUGUAGAAGAGACAAUCGUGACCACACACACGACUGCUGACAGAGAAGAGACAAUCGUGACCACAACCACAACAGCGGUUGGAGAAGAGACAACCGUGACCACAACCACGACUGCGCUUAGAGAAGAGACAACCGUGACCACACCCAUGACUGCGUUUGGAGAAGAGACAACCGUGACCACACCCACGACUACAUUUGGAGAAGAGACAACCGUGACCACACCCACUACUGUACCUGUAGAAGAGACAAUCGUGACCACACACACGACUGCUGACAGAGAAGAGACAAUCGUGACCACAACCACAACAGCUGUUGGAGAAGAGACAACCGUGACCACAACUGCGUUCAGAGAAGAGACAACCGUGACCACACCCACGACUGUACCUGGAGAAGAGACACCCGCGACCACACAAACUACUACAGUUGGAGGAGAGACAACCGUGACCACACCCACGACUGCAGUUGGAGAAGAGACAACCGUGACCACACCCAUGACUGCGUUUGGAGAAGAGACAACCGUGACCACACCCACGACUGCUGACAGAGAAGAGACAACCGUGACCACACCCACAACAGCGGUUGGAGAAGAGACAACCGUGACCACACCCACAACAGCUGUUGGAGAAGAGACAACCGUGACCACACCCACGACUGUACCUGGAGAAGAGACAACCGUGACCACACACACGACUGCUGACAGAGAAGAGACAAUCGUGACCACAACCACAACAGCUGUUGGAGAAGAGACACCAAAGACUGGUAUCAAAAGUUCUAAAGGAGCAUUGAUCUUCAUAGAAUUUUUUUAUACCCUUUACACAGAAUUUUUUCUUACCCUUUUUUCUAGUCUUAUAACUCAAAUAUAUACAUAUAUAUAUAGGGAUCAUAAACUACUUCUGUUUAUUAUUUUGUACUGUUCGCUGAGGUCCACUUAUGAUGCUAUCAAGAUUUUAACAUAA